ACGCUCGACACCUACGGGAGGGCAGCAGUGGGGAAUAUUGGGCAAUGGGCGCAAGCCUGACCCAGCAACGCCGCGUGAGUGAUGAAGGUCUUCGGAUUGUAAAACUCUUUAAGCAGGGAAGAAGAAAGUGACGGUACCUGCAGAAUAAGCAUCGGCUAACUACGUGCCAGCAGCCGCGGUAAUCUGAGGCGGGCUGGCAAGGC
rnacentral:rRNA from 1 species